GGCUUCACACAUGCUACAAUGGCCGGUACAAAGGGCUGCGAUGCCGCGAGGUUAAGCGAAUCCUUAAAAGCCGGUCUCAGUUCGGAUCGGGGUCUGCAACUCGACCCCGUGAAGUCGGAGUCGCUAGUAAUCGCAGAUCAGCAACGCUGCGGUGAAUACGUUCCCGGGCCUUGUACACACCGCCCGUCGCGUCAUGAAAGUCGGUAACACCCGAAGCCAGUGGCCUAACCCUCGGGAGGGAGCUGUCGAAGGUGGGAUCGGCGAUUGGGACGAAGUCGUAACAAGGUAGCCGUACCGGAAGGUGCGGCUGGAUCACCUCCUUUC
rnacentral:rRNA from 1 species